UCUCUUCAUCCAGUUGGUGAUCGUGGGGUUAAAUUUGGCUUGCCUAGUGGUAGCUCCACUCAGAGCAGUAUGAGUAUUGCUUGUUGUGGUUCUUCUCAAAUUAAUUCAGCAAAUGCUGGUACAGAAAAUCUUAAACCUGCUAAACUGAAGGAAGAAACUCCAGAAGAAGUGCCAGUGAGGCAUUUUAACCAUAAUGCUGCUGAUUCUUCGAUGGAGAUGCCAGCUGUUGCUCCUGAUGGCUAUAAGUGUUAUUCCCAGACAAAUGCUAAUGAUGUCAAACAGGACCUAUAUGCAUCAACAAGAAUUCAAAAACAUCAUGCAUCACAUGCUAACUUGGGGUCCACAGGUAUUAUGUCCUCAGAACAUGGGAUAGACCAUCCAUUAUCUGAUCCAGAAGAACCUCCCAUAGAAAGUGAUGAUGAUGUGCCGUAUUUUUCAGAUAUUGAAGCAAUG
rnacentral:misc_RNA from 1 species